UUCCGGUUGAUCCUGCCGGAAGUCACUGCUAUUGGGGUUCGAUUAAGCCAUGCGAGUCGACUGCUCGAGGCAGGGCAGACGGCUCAGUAACACGUGGGUAAUCUACCCUCGGGUCUGGGAUAACCCCGGAAAACUGGGGAUAAUACCGGAUAGAUGGAGAGGUCUGGAAAGAUUUUCCGUCCAAAGCCCCGGCGCCCGAGGAUGAGCUUGCGGUCGAUUAGGCUGUUGGCGGUGUUAAGGACCACCAAACCUGAGAUCGAUAUGGGCAGUGAGAGCUGGAGCCCGGAGAUGGGGACUGAGACACGGCCCCAGGCCCUACGGGGCGCAGCAGGCGCGAAAACUCCGCAAUGUUCGAAAGAGCGACGGGGGAACCCCAAGUGCCAUCUUUUUUGGUGGGGCUUUUGUGUAGCGUAAAUAACUACACGAAUAAGGGCUGGGUAAGACCGGUGCCAGCCGCCGCGGUAACACCGGCGGCUCAAGUGGUGACCGCUUUUAUUGGGCCUAAAGCGUUCGUAGCCGGUUCGGUAAGUCUUUGGGUAAAUCUUGCUGCUUAACAGUAAGAAUUCCGAAGAUACUGCCGGGCUAGGGACCGAGAGAGGUCGGAGGUACUCCUGGGGUAGAGGUGAAAUUCUGUAAUCCUGGGGGGACCACCAGUGGCGAAGGCGUCCGACUAGAGCGGGUCCGACGGUGAGGGGCGAAAGCCAGGGGAGCGAACCGGAUUAGAUACCCGGGUAGUCCUGGCCGUAAACGCUGUGGGCUAGGUGUUGCAUGCUCUACGGGGGCAUGCAGUGCCGAAGAGAAGUUGAUAAGCCUACCGCCUGGGAAGUAUUACUGCAAGGUAGAAACUUAAAGGAAUUGGCGGGGGAGCACCACAAGGGGUGGAGUCUGCGGUUCAAUUGGAUUCAACGCCGGA
rnacentral:rRNA from 1 species